CAAAAACAAAACAAUCCCCACCCCCACCCCACCCUAGGAAAUAGAGCUAGACUCACUGCAGUGGAAAGAGACUCAGCUUGGAAGAUGUGAGGGGAACUUGAACUUAUUGAAAAGAAAAACUGGAAAUAUCCAAGCUAAAACAAAGAAGAUGGGAUUGAAAACACAGGUGGAUGGAGAGACCUAGAAUGGAGAAGGACCAACUCUUUCAGUGUAAUUGGAAGUAAAAUAGAGAAAUGCUGAUGCAAGAAAGUAUGUAGAAAUUCCUAUAUAAUGAAGUCAUUCCCACAUAAU
rnacentral:lncRNA from 1 species